ACUAAAUCAUCUCCCUUUCUGCCUCUCUUCACUGUUGUGGACUAUUCCCCGAAUAAACAUGAGUUCUCAGCCAGUGUUGGUGUGUUGGUGUAUUGGUGUGUUGGUGUGUGUGUUUGCAAGCAGUCUGUGUGUGUGUGUGUGUGUGUGUGUGUGUGUGUGUGUUUAUCAGCAUCCUGAUAUGUUUAAAGGCACUUGAGUUUUCUGCAUGAUAUUUCCCAACAUAUUUACGCUGACUUUUCCAUUUUAUCUUUCAGAAGGACCACAGAACUUAGAUCAAGUCCAGAAAGAAAUGGCUAGGAUGAUGGCUCAGUUCAAGGAUGAUUGGAGGAGAGAACAGUUGCUGAAUGAAGGACUUCAGGAAAAAUAUGAUGAUCUUCAAAAGAAAUUCGAUCAAGUCCAGAAAGAAAUGGGUAAAUUUUUUGACAUUUUUUAACAGAUGUAUUUCUUUAAAACAUCUUUUCCCACCAUUUCUCAACAUUCCCUCCUCCCUGCUCCUGUCCGCCCUUUAGCUUCUUGUGGGUUCCACGUUACCCUAUUUUCUCUUUGACGUCCUGAGGUCCUCCCACA
rnacentral:lncRNA from 1 species